rnacentral:rRNA from 1 species
AACCCCGAGUGCCCGUACACGCGGGCUGUCUGGGUGUUUAAAAUGCACCCAAAGAAAGGUCCGGGCAAGACCGGUGCCAGGCGCCGCGGUAAUACCGGCGGCUCGAGUGGUGACCACUCUUAUUGGGCUUAAAGCGUUCGUAGCUGGACUGCUAAGUCCCUUGGGAAAUCCGCCGGCUUAGCCGGCGGGCGUUUAAGGGAUACUGGCAGUCUUGGGACCGGGAGAGGUAAGAGGUACUCCGGGGGUAGGAGUGAAAUCCUGUAAUCCCCGGGGGACCACCGGUGGCGAAGGCGUCUUACCAGAACGGCUCCGACAGUGAGGAACGAAAGCUGGGGGAGCGAACCGGAUUAGAUACCCGGGUAGUCCCAGCCGUAAACGAUGCGCGUUAGGUGUACCGGCGACCACGAGUUGCCGGGGUGCCGAAGGGAAACCGUGAAAUGUGCCGCCUGGGAAGUACGGUCGCAAGGCUGAAACUCAAAUGAAUUGACGG